GACGAACGCUGGCGGCGUGCUUAACACAUGCAAGUCGAACGGUGAAAGGGAGCUUGCUCCCUGGAUCAGUGGCGAACGGGUGAGUAACACGUGGGCAACCUGCCCCAGACUUCGGGAUAACGCUUCGAAAGAGGUGCUAAUACCGGAUACGAACUCCUUGGGCAUCCUUGGAGUUGGAAAGUUUUUCGGUCUGGGAUGGGCCCGCGGCCUAUCAGCUUGUUGGUGAGGUAACGGCUCACCAAGGCGACGACGGGUAGCCGGCCUGAGAGGGCGACCGGCCACACUGGGACUGAGACACGGCCCAGACUCCUACGGGAGGCAGCAGUGGGGAAUAUUGCGCAAUGGGCGAAAGCCUGACGCAGCAACGCCGCGUGAGGGAUGACGGCCUUCGGGUUGUAAACCUCUUUCAGCAGGGAAGAAGCGAAAGUGACGGUACCUGCAGAAGAAGCACCGGCUAACUACGUGCCAGCAGCCGCCGUAA
rnacentral:rRNA from 1 species